AUUCUGGUUGAUCCUGCCAGUAGUUAUAUGCUUGUCUCAAAGAUUAAGCCAUGCAUGUCUAAGUACACACGAAUUAAAAGUGAAACCGCAAAAGGCUCAUUAUAUCAGUUAUGGUUCCUUAGAUCGUUAACAGUUACUUGGAUAACUGUGGUAAUUCUAGAGCUAAUACAUGCAAUUAAAACAUGAACCUUAUGGGACAUGUGCUUUUAUUAGGCUAAAACCAAGCGAUCGCAAGAUCGUUAUAUUGGUUGAACUCUAGAUAACAUGCAGAUCGUAUGGUCUUGUACCGACGACAGAUCUUUCAAAUGUCUGCCCUAUCAACUUUUGAUGGUAGUAUCUAGGACUACCAUGGUUGCAACGGGUAACGGGGAAUCAGGGUUCGAUUCCGGAGAGGGAGCCUGAGAAACGGCUACCACAUCUAAGGAAGGCAGCAGGCGCGUAAAUUACCCACUCCCAGCUCGGGGAGGUAGUGACGAAAAAUAACAAUACAGGACUCAUAUCCGAGGCCCUGUAAUUGGAAUGAGUACACUUUAAAUCCUUUAACAAGGACCAAUUGGAGGGCAAGUCUGGUGCCAGCAGCCGCGGUAAUUCCAGCUCCAAUAGCGUAUAUUAAAGUUGUUGCGGUUAAAACGUUCGUAGUUGAACUUGUGCUUCAUACGGGUAGUACAACUUACAAUUGUGGUUAGUACUAUACCUUUUAUGUAUGUAAGCGUAUUACCGGUGGAGUUCUUAUAUGUGAUUAAAUACUUGUAUUUUUUCAUAUGUUCCUCCUAUUUAAAAACCUGCACUAGUGCUCUUAAACGAGUGUUAUUGUGGGCCGGUACUAUUACUUUGAACAAAUUAGAGUGCUUAAAGCAGGCUUCAAAUGCCUGAAUAUUCUGUGCAUGGGAUAAUGAAAUAAGACCUCUGUUCUGCUUUCAUUGGUUUUCAGAUCAAGAGGUAAUGAUUAAUAGAAGCAGUUUGGGGGCAUUAGUAUUACGACGCGAGAGGUGAAAUUCUUGGACCGUCGUAAGACUAACUUAAGCGAAAGCAUUUGCCAAAGAUGUUUUCAUUAAUCAAGAACGAAAGUUAGAGGUUCGAAGGCGAUCAGAUACCGCCCUAGUUCUAACCAUAAACGAUGCCAGCUAGCAAUUGGGUGUAGCUACUUUUAUGGCUCUCUCAGUCGCUUCCCGGGAAACCAAAGCUUUUGGGCUCCGGGGGAAGUAUGGUUGCAAAGCUGAAACUUAAAGGAAUUGACGGAAGGGCACCACCAGGAGUGGAGCCUGCGGCUUAAUUUGACUCAACACGGGAAAACUUACCAGGUCCGAACAUAAGUGAUGUAAGACAGAUUGAUAGCUCUUUCUCGAAUCUAUGGGUGGUGGUGCAU
rfam:Drosophila sechellia strain Rob3c scaffold_9374 genomic scaffold, whole genome shotgun sequence.